rnacentral:tRNA from 1 species
GGCACUGUGGCUUAGUUGGUUAAAGCGCCUGUCUAGUAAACAGGAGAUCCUGGGUCCAAAUCCCAGCAGUGCUU